AAGUCGUAACAAGGUUUCCGUAGGUGAACCUGCGGAAGGAUCAUUAACACGUAUCCACGUACCUCUACACACCCACUCUGUGAACUGGGAAGGAACUGGGCCUGUAUGGGACCGUUCCAACCUCCCUUUUUUUCACCCCUUUUUUUGACUCUCCGUUUUGAACCCCCCUAGUGGCCUGAUCUCCAAGGUGUGUCUUGGGUCGCUUCCAUUCGACGAUCGAGCUCGGCUUCCUUCACUGGGACCGCUCUCGACUGUCGUUCUGGCAGUGCCACUCGACACCCGAACCAUAUGGAUUUUCCAAAUGAGUUAUCAUAGCACAACUCUUAGCAAUGGAUAUCUUGGUUCUC
rnacentral:misc_RNA from 1 species